GUGAUCCAAAACUUUUAUGACUGAACAUCUGACGAAAAUGGGGAAUUUUAACCACGAAAACAAAGAAUUGACGCAGAAAAACGGCGAAAUUGUUACGAUAUUUGGCCGUAUCACUUGAUCUGGUCAAGAGGAAUUCGGCCGUCAUCACUUUACACAAAUCCACGCUAUGGCACGGGAUUUCAAAUGUGACCAUUGAAAAGGUGUGGAGAAGAGAGAAAAUUAGAUCGGAAUGUGCCAGGCAAAGAAUAAACACAAAACUUUCACAAGAAACGCACGAAAUUUUGCGACUUUUCACGCCGAAAAUGGGGCACAGCACGUGCUGAUACUUACAGAAGCUGGAACAGGCACUUGGGGGACGAUCUGAGUCAGAUUUUGGGCAUUUUUUACACUUCUAAAACGAAGAAAAGGUGACCAAGAGGCACUAAACGUUACAAACUUCAGCAAACCUCAACUGCUGUAUUUUCCGUUAGGGGGAGCACCAAAAAUUCCACGCGAGUUUCACAUUCCAUUGUAAUAUACAAACUUUACCACAAAUGUUAGGCUCACCGUUAGAAAAAAUAACGCCAGCCAAUCGAAAUUUCUGAUAAUUUUAGAAACAAAACGGGAAACAAAACCACGGCAGUUUUACUCGAGAUUAAGCCAAAAACUCAAAAUUUAACAAUUUUAGGUGGCGAAAGCUCCCUUGCUAUUUUGCUAUCAGUAAUUAGUAUUUCUGUGAUUACAAAAUAAUAAAAUUUUGAAAAGA